ACAAUGGGUGAGAACAUAUGACAGGCUGUCCUGCUCUGAGUUGUUUUUGUUCAUAAAAAAUUAACUAAAUUUUGAAGCAAGCUCUGCAAUCUGAUGUCAGGUAUUUUCUGCUGAAACUAAACAUAAAUUUUAACUUCAACUUUCCAACAAGUGUCAAGGCUAUAGGAAUUGCAAUUUGUAUUUUUGAUAUCGACCACUCCAAAAAUGAAUUUGUAAUUCGCCUAAAAUGUAAGCGUGCGUUUCAAGCUGUCGACCAGGAAAAGAAUAUUAAUAAAGGUUUUCAGAAUGGCCGGUGC